UAGGAAGUUACAUAGAUCGUUAUUUGAUAUAAAAAGUUAAAAACAAUGUUGGGUUGCCAACACCUGGCGAGCUGAAACAUCUUAGUAGCCAUAGGAAUAGAAAGCAAAAUCGAUUCCCAUAGUAGCGGCGAGAGAAAUGGGAGCAGCCUAAACUGUGAAAACAAGGUUGUGGGAGAGCACAAUAUAAGCUCUGUGCUGCUAGGUGAAGCGGUUGAGUCCUACACCCUAGAUGGUGAGAGUCCAGUAGCCAAAAGCAUCAUUGGGUUACACUCUAACCCGUGUAGCAUGGGGCACGUGGAAUCCCAUGUGAAUCAGCAAGGGCCACCUUGCAAGGCUAAGUACUUCUGGGUGAUCGAUAGAGAAGUAGUACUGUGAGGGAAAGGUGAAAAGAGCCCCCAUCGAGGAGUGAAAUAGAACAUGAAACCGCAAGCUUCCAAGCAGUGAGAGGAAAAUGAUAUCUCUGACCGCAUUCCUAUUGAAGAAUGAGAUGAUGACUUAUAAGCAGUGGCUUGGUUAAGGGAACCCACCAGAGCCGUAGCAAGAGAGAGUCUUCAUGGGGAAAUUGUCACUUCUUAUGGACCCGAACCUGGGUGAUCUAUCCAUGACCAGGAUGAAUAUUGGGUGAAACUAAGUGGAGGUCCAAACCAAUUGAUGUUGAAAAAUCAGUGGAUGAGUCAUGGUUAGGGGUGAAAUGCCACUCGAACCCAGAGCUAGCUAGUUCUCCCCGAAAUGCGUUGAGGUGCAAUAGUUGACUGGACCAUCUAGGGGAAAGCACUAUUUCGGUAUGGGCCACGAGAGCGGUACCAAAUCGAGGAAAAAUAUGAAUACUAUAUUUCCCCAAUAAAAGGGGUAAAGGUCAGCCAGUGAGAUGAUGGGGGAUAAGCUUCAUUGUCGAGAGGGAAAUAACCCAGAUCAUCAACUAAUGCCCCUAAAUGACCACUCAAUGAUGAAGGAAGUACUAGUGCAAAGACAACCAGGAGGUAGGGGAGCAUUCUGCCUCAGAGGAAAGCACCGGCGUGAGUAGGUGUGGACAAAGUGGAAUCGAGAACGUCGGCUUGAGUAACAAAAACAUUGGUGAGAAUCCAAUGCCCCGAAAACCUAAGGGUUUCGCCGCAAGGUUCGUCCACGAAGGGUGAGUCAGGGCCUAAGAUCAGGCCGAAAGGCGUAGUCGAUGGACAAUAGGUUAAUAUUCCUAUACUACCCCUUGUUGGUCCGGAGGGACGGAGGAGGCUAGGUUAACCGAAAGAUGGUUAUCAUUUCAAGGAUGCAAGGUGACCCUCUAUACAUUGAUUCAAAGGUAAAAGAAGAAUCAAAUAUAGGUGUGUACAAGGUGAGGUUUGGGGUGGAUAUUCCUCAUCAUCUACUCUAGCACACAAAAAUCCAAGAUGGCUUAUCCAAACAUUAUAGGAUGCACAAAACCAGGUAGGAGCGCCCAUAUCAUCAAUGAGGGUGAGUAUACCUCCUAGGAGAUAUGUUAACCAUAUUGUAUUAGAUUCUUCUAUUUGUGAUCUUUAAUUUUUUUUU
rnacentral:ncRNA from 1 species